rnacentral:tRNA from 1 species
GGCGGAAUAGCUCAGUUGGUUAGAGCAGCGGAAUCAUAAUCCGCGUGUCGGGGGUUCGAGUCCCUCUUCCGCUA